rnacentral:tRNA from 1 species
CCUUCGAUAGCUCAGUUGGUAGAGCGGUGGACUGUAGUUUAGCGAUGUUGGCAAGCAAUAUCGGGUUCGUUGCUGGCAAGCAGCAACAGAACAGUCACAACUAAAGAAGACAUCCAUAGGUCGCUGGUUCAAAUCCGGCUCGAAGGA